rnacentral:rRNA from 1 species
GACGAACGCUGGCGGCGUGCUUAACACAUGCAAGUCGAGCGGUAAGGCCCUUUCGGGGGUACGACGAGCGGCGAACGGGUGAGUAACACGUGGGUGACCUGCCCUCAGCUCUGGGAUAAGCCUGGGAAACGUGGGUCGUAAUACCGGAUAUGACUCCAUGACGCAUGUUGGUGGGGUGGAAAGCCUUGUGCGGCUGAGGAUGGGCCCGCGGCCUAUCAGCUUGUUGGUGGGGUGANGGCCCUACCAAGGCGACGACGGGUAGCCGGCCUGAGAGGGCGACCGGCCACACUGGGACUGAGACACGGCCCAGACUCCUACGGGAGGCAGCAGUGGGGAAUCUUGCGCAAUGGGCGAAAGCCUGACGCAGCGACGCCGCGUGA